GAUGAAGAACGCAGCGAAAUGCGAUAAGUAAUGCGAAUUGCAGAAUUCCAGUGAGUCAUCGAAUCUUUGAACGCACAUUGCGCCCUUUGGCAUUCCGAGGGGCAUGCCUGUUCGAGCGUCAUUAUAACCCCUCAAGCUCAGCUUGGUGUUGGGGCCUGCUGCACUGGCAGCCCUUAAAAUCAGUGGCGGCGCCAUCUGGCUCUAAGCGUAGUAAUUCUUCUCGCUAUGGAGUCCUGGUGGAUGCUUGCCAUCAACCCCCAAUUUUUCUAUGGUUGACCUCGGAUCAGGUAGGGAUACCCGCUGAACUUAAGCAUAUCAAUAAGCGGAGGA
rnacentral:misc_RNA from 1 species